rnacentral:rRNA from 1 species
CCGGAAGACCAAGGGUUCCUGUCCAACGUUAAUCGGGGCAGGGUGAGUCGACCCCUAAGGCGAGGCCGAAAGGCGUAGUCGAUGGGAAACGGGUUAAUAUUCCCGUACUUGGUGUUACUGCGAAGGGGGGACGGAGAAGGCUAUGUUGGCCGGGCGACGGUUGUCCCGGUUUAAGCGUGUAGGUGUGUGUUCCAGGUAAAUCCGGUUCACUUUAACACUGAGGCGUGACGACGAGGCACUACGGUGCUGAAGCAACAAAUGCCCUGCUUCCAGGAAAAGCCUCUAAGCAUCAGGUAACAUCAAAUCGUACCCCAAACCGACACAGGUGGUCAGGUAGAGAAUACCAAGGCGCUUGAGAGAACUCGGGUGAAGGAACUAGGCAAAAUGGUGCCGUAACUUCGGGAGAAGGCACGCUGACACGUAGGUGAAGUGAUUUACUCAUGGAGCUGAAGUCAGUCGAAGAUACCAGCUGGCUGCAACUGUUUAUUAAAAACACAGCACUGUGCAAACACGAAAGUGGACGUAUACGGUGUGACGCCUGCCCGGUGCCGGAAGGUUAAUUGAUGGGGUCAGCGCAAGCGAAGCUCCUGAUCGAAGCCCCGGUAAACGGCGGCCGUAACUAUAACGGUCCUAAGGUAGCGAAAUUCCUUGUCGGGUAAGUUCCGACCUGCACGAAUGGCGUAAUGAUGGCCAGGCUGUCUCCACCCGAGACUCAGUGAAAUUGAACUCGCUGUGAAGAUGCAGUGUACCCGCGGCAAGACGGAAAGACCCCGUGAACCUUUACUAUAGCUUGACACUGAACAUUGAGCCUUGAUGUGUAGGAUAGGUGGGAGGCUUUGAAGUGUGGACGCCAGUCUGCAUGGAGCCGACCUUGAAAUACCACCCUUUAAUGUUUGAUGUUCUAACGUGGACCCGUUACCCGGGUUGCGGACAGUGUCUGGUGGGUAGUUUGACUGGGGCGGUCUCCUCCUAAAGAGUAACGGAGGAGCACGAAGGUUGGCUAAUCCUGGUCGGACAUCAGGAGGUUAGUGCAAUGGCAUAAGCCAGCUUGACUGCGAGCGUGACGGCGCGAGCAGGUGCGAAAGCAGGUCAUAGUGAUCCGGUGGUUCUGAAUGGAAGGGCCAUCGCUCAACGGAUAAAAGGUACUCCGGGGAUAACAGGCUGAUACCGCCCAAGAGUUCAUAUCGACGGCGGUGUUUGGCACCUCGAUGUCGGCUCAUCACAUCCUGGGGCUGAAGUAGGUCCCAAGGGUAUGGCUGUUCGCCAUUUAAAGUGGUACGCGAGCUGGGUUUAGAACGUCGUGAGACAGUUCGGUCCCUAUCUGCCGUGGGCGCUGGAGAACUGAGGGGGGCUGCUCCUAGUACGAGAGGACCGGAGUGGACGCAUCACUGGUGUUCGGGUUGUCAUGCCAAUGGCACUGCCCGGUAGCUAAAUGCGGAAGAGAUAAGUGCUGAAAGCAUCUAAGCACGAAACUUGCCCCGAG